GAUGAAGAACGCAGCGAAAUGCGAUAAGUAAUGUGAAUUGCAGAAUUCAGUGAAUCAUCGAAUCUUUGAACGCACAUUGCGCCCUCUGGUAUUCCGGGGGGCAUGCCUGUUCGAGCGUCAUUAUAACCACUCAAGCUCUCGCUUGGUAUUGGGGUUCGCGGUUUCGCGGCCCCUAAAAUCAGUGGCGGUGCCUGUCGGCUCUACGCGUAGUAAUACUCCUCGCGAUUGAGUCCGGUAGGUCUACUUGCCAGCAACCCCUAAUUUUUUUAAGGUUGACCUCGGAUCAGGUAGGGAUACCCGCUGAACUUAAGCAUAUCAAUAAGCGGAGGA
rnacentral:misc_RNA from 1 species